AAGAAAUUAUGCCUAUUCUUAGUCACUAUUAAGCACAUAUACAAUGUCGAAAAUUGAACAGUACUCCAAGAGGGUGCAAAAUGACUACAUGCCACUUUAACUGAGGCUUCCAAAAAUUGAGAUUUCUACUUAUAAGGAAUGUGGUACACAUUAGAACUACUGAGUCCCAUGGUCAUCCAUGCAUUACCUUACCCUUUUUGUAUAACUUAUAGAAAUGGGUCCAAAAAGACGUUGUGAGAUAUGAGGUAUGAAGUGUUCAGUAAGUUCAUUGAUGGUCCUGCUAGCAAUAGCAUGUAAGUGAAGCAUAUCCA
rnacentral:lncRNA from 10 species